rnacentral:misc_RNA from 1 species
UUUCCGUAGGUGAACCUGCGGAAGGAUCAUUAUCGAAUUUCGAGGGGAAGGAAGAUGAGGAGUGGAGACUGUCGCUGGCUUUCCCGCCUGGGGAGCAUGUGCACGCCUUGCUUUUCGUUGACCUUUCUCUUACUCUCACACCUGUGCACCCAUUGUAGGUCCUCGAAAGAGGAUCUAUGUUUUUAUCAUCACACGCAUCGUAUGUCCAUAGAAUGUAACAUGAUCGUCGAUCGACCUCGCGGUCGGGUGGCGGUCUAAAUAAAUAAAUACAACUUUCAGCAACGGAUCUCUUGGCUCUC